AACCUAGCACACCUGCGGUGUGUACCUGCGGAGGGAUCAUUAAAAAAACUUUUGCCCGCGACCUCCGCGUCCGGAGCAAAAACAAACCCACACCGUGUGCACUGUUACCGUUUUCUUUGGCAGGGGCUUGGGGUUCUCGUCGAGAUCCCAACUUCUCCACUGGCUCCAUCCCAAUAUAAUCCCUUCGCGGGGGUUUUGGGACAGCCAGACAUGGGAAGCCGUACCCUGCCAAGUGACCCU
rnacentral:misc_RNA from 1 species